rnacentral:tRNA from 2 species
GUCGGGAUAGCUCAGCUGGUARAGCAGAGGACUGAAAAUC